rnacentral:rRNA from 1 species
UAGCAUGGGGGUGCAAAACGAUUUGCUCGGGAAUUAAUUGGGCGUAAAGCGCACGUAGGCGGUUCGUUAAGUCGGAAUCGGUGAAAGCCCUCGGCUCAACUGAGGAAGUGCACCCGAAACUGGCGAGCUUGAGUACGAAAGAGGGAUCGCGGAAUUCCCGGUGUAGAGGUGAAAUUCGUAGAUAUCGGGAGGAACACCGGGAUG